rnacentral:rRNA from 1 species
CGAAGGGGGCUAGCGUUGUUCGGAAUUACUGGGCGUAAAGCGCGCGUAGGCGGUGAUCUUUGUCAGAGGUGAAAGCCCGGGGCUCAACUCCGGAAUUGCCUUUGAAACGGGAUUGCUAGAGUCCGAGAGAGGAUGGCGGAAUUCCUAGUGUAGAGGUGAAAUUCGUAGAUAUUAGGAAGAACACCGGUGGCGAAGGCGGCCAUCUGGCUCGGUACUGACGCUCAGGCGCGAAAGCGUGGGGAGCAAACAGGAUUAGAUACCCUGGUAGUCCACGCCGUAAACUAUGAAUGCUAGUUGUUAGGAAGUUUACUUCUUAGUGACGCAGCUAACGCGUUAAGCAUUCCGCCUGGGGAGUACGGUCGCAAGAUUA